AGAGUGCUGAGCCCCGUGCUGCCUCUCCCCCCGAAUAAAAUCCUGUUUAACUGAGCCCAGAGGAGUCCGCCUUUUGAUUAGCUGCCGUGGGUUGCAUACGCCAUCUGCUGGCCGUCGCUGAGAGGGGAACCAAGACCCACAGGGAGGAGGUGGCUCACCCGACUUGCCACCCCGACCUCACCCGUUGCCGCGGUGCAGGAGACUGAGCUAGCCCGUGGCCGCGCUCAUCAGCGCGAGGAACAGCACCGCGACAGCGGUUGGCGCCCAGUUCGUGGGGCCCCCACCCUCAGGACACGAGGCGGACCCCGCGGCACGGACUGAGGCUGCAAGAGCCUGAAGAAAAGUCCUUGGACGCCCCGCUACCCUUGGUCGAGCGGCUUCGUAAGAUCACGCUCCCAAGGGACGAAGAGGACAGCCUGAAGCGCCCAGCAGGUCCUCUUCAGGCAGCUAAUCUCGAGACCCCAGGCUUUAUCGCAUCCCAGGAGGGGCCAAUUUUAGUAACAUCAUCAAGGCAUGAACCUUAUCGGCUGCGGCUCACCGAAGCGCUCUAUCUGAGGACGGCGGAUUGGACCUUCCUUUCCAUAAACACCAAAGAACAAGGAGCCUGGCCAGUCCAAGGAAAGGAGCUUGUCAUCAUCGGGGACUGGUUUGAGCUACAGGAAGAAAAGGUUCAGCGGAUGCCGCCCUGGAAGUACCUCGGGCUCGAAAUCGGAAGGCGGACCAUUGUUCCCCAAAAAUUGGCAAUUCGAACAAAAGCCAAGCCAUGGUUGAGAGGACCCAUGGGACCAUCAAGCGUGUACUACAUCAGCAGCAGAGGGUCCUCAAGACAGAGUCACCAUCAGUCAGGCUGGCCAGAGCUUUGUUUACCAUUAAUUUCCUGAAUUGUUCUUACGAAGGUCUCAAUCCGCCCAUCGUCCGGCACUUCGGUGCCAGCUCGCUGUUUGGGGUCAAAGAACGACCGCAGGUCAUGGUCAGAGAUCCUGGGUCUGGAGGGACAGAAGGGCCACACGAUCUGGUCACGUGGGGACGUGGGUACGCCUGCGUGUCCACCCCCACGGGACCAAAAUGGAUUCCAGCUAAGUGGGUGAGGCCCUAUGUUCCCAAAAGCCCAGGGUCUGGCAAAAUCAACAGUCUGCAAGUCACCAUGGCAGCGUGGAGGCGGAAAAGGAAAACAUUGAACGAGGAGAGCUGAACAUCAGCUCCGGGCGGAGUCAUCCCUUUCCCUGCUGUGUCAAA